rnacentral:rRNA from 1 species
CAGUAGCCGCGGGAAUACGUAGGGUGCAAGCGUUAAUCGGAAUUACUGGGCGUAAAGCGUGCGCAGGCGGUUUGUUAAGACAGAUGUGAAAUCCCCGGGCUCAACCUGGGAACUGCAUUUGUGACUGGCAAGCUAGAGUGUGGCAGAGGGGGGUGGAAUUCCGCGUGUAGCAGUGAAAUGCGUAGAUAUGCGGAGGAACACCGAUGGCGAAGGCAGCCCCCUGGGCCAACACUGACGCUCAUGCACGAAAGCGUGGGGAGCAAACAGGAUUAGAUACCCGUGUAGUCCCUGUCUCUUAUAA